UUUUUUCACGUUUGAGUGUUCAUUAGGCAGAAUCGUUGGUGACUGUUGGAGGUACAAGUGCACAUUCUAAAUUUUACAACUCUUGGUUCUGACGACUAUGGCGACUGUUGGAGGUACAAGUUUCUUCAAUUUGCCAUCAUGAAGAUGGUUGCAGGUACAAUGUAUUAAAUUGAAAGGGUAGCAAAUGAUGGUUGUGAGAAAAAAACUUAUGAAGCUAUAGUUUGGGGGAAGCCAUAGAUGAACUCCACCAGCUACACCACCCAAUUUCAGGCGGGUCUCAACACCAAAAUAAGUCAUUGCUAUUGAUUUACGAUUUCUCCCUAAACACAACCCCGAAUCUAUUACUGUCGGUGCAUUUCCCCCCGCCCCGUUUGGUUCCGAUUCGUGCUGCCAGCAAUCAAGAUGAAAAGAGUAUUUCCCUUUCCAUUUGGAUUUGGAUUAGCGCCUUUGCGGAAGAUAGGUUAAGGUUCUUGAAAUCAGAUCGUCGAGGUGGCCAGGAAGUCUGUUGUUAUUCAGGUCAGAUUUCGGUUCUAACGGGUUCAUGACCGUGGAGUUUUUUUUAAUCAUUUGUCUAUUAUGGCAAUGAAUCUAGAAGUUCCUAUGAUAAUUGUCUCGCGAGGGUGUACAAGGAAGAGCUACUUUCUAAACCGUGAUUAUGUUCUUACUACAUGUUAAUUUUGAUAAUGAUUCGGUUAUUUUUAUAAAAUGGGUCAUCCUGUCUUAUGUGGUAUGAAAUCACUUUGGUUGAAUCUCAACCCAGUUUUAUGUGCGUCCAUGUAUGUUUUGCGACUAAGCAAUCGAGACGAAAGGGUCUAAAGUCACUGCAUGUGUUACUCAAGUGUUUGCUUGCUCUUUUCUUAUGAAAAGUUUUUAAUUCUCCUUGGAAAUUGUAAUAAAAAAAAGAAAGAAAGGUGGUUAAUAGAUUUGGAUUAUUGAUGUGUUAUUUUUUGUAAUAAUAACUAAUAAUUUUUGUUAAGGACUCGACUGGGUUAUCCAAAAAAUAUUUGAUUGCGUUGGCUGCAAGACGCACAGCCACAGUGUCGUGUGGAACGUCGGCAUUGGCAUCGCUCACACCGUCACUUAACUUAGGAGCAUAUACAGAAGUGUAAUCGACACAAAUACAAGCAAAAAUCAGCUAGAAUAUGCUCCAAAGCUAGCUCGAAGCUGUAGAAAUAGUGUCAUUUUGUGUGAGUAAUUUGUAAGGUUUUAGGUUGUCAUUUUAUUUCUUCAGAAUACGUGUGCUUCAUCACUGAGUCGUGUGAGUAUAUGUAACAAACCUGGAAGGGUUCAUUGUCUGUUAAAAUUUUUUUGGAUUGUUUG
rnacentral:lncRNA from 1 species